AGCGAACGCUGGCGGCAGGCCUAACACAUGCAAGUCGAACGAACUCUUCGGAGUUAGUGGCGGACGGGUGAGUAACGCGUGGGAACGUGCCUUUUUGCUCGGAAUAACUCAGGGAAACUUGUGCUAAUGCCGAAUGUGUCCUUCGGAGGGAAGAUACAUCGUCAAGAGAGCGGCAGGCGUCUGAUUAACUGGGUGGGGAGGUAACGGCUCACAAAGGCGACGCUCAGUAGCUGGACCGAGAGGAAGACCAGCCACACUGCGAGUGGGAGACGUGCCAGAUUUUGACGGAAGGCAGCAGUGGGGAAUCUGGCGCAAUGGGCGAAAGCCUGAGGCAGCCAUGUCGUGUGAAUGAUGUAGGUCGAAGGAAUGUAAAAUUCUUUCACCGGGGACGAUAAUGACGUUACCCGGAGAAGAAGCCCCGGCGAACUCCGU
rnacentral:rRNA from 1 species